rnacentral:rRNA from 1 species
AUUGAACGCUGGCGGCAGGCCUAACACAUGCAAGUCGAGCGGAUGACGGGAGCUUGCUCCUGGAUUCAGCGGCGGACGGGUGAGUAAUGCCUAGGAAUCUGCCUGGUAGUGGGGGACAACGUUUCGAAAGGAACGCUAAUACCGCAUACGUCCUACGGGAGAAAGCAGGGGACCUUCGGGCCUUGCGCUAUCAGAUGAGCCUAGGUCGGAUUAGCUUGUUGGUGAGGUAAUGGCUCACCAAGGCGACGAUCCGUAACUGGUCUGAGAGGAUGAUCAGUCACACUGGAACUGAGACACGGUCCAGACUCCUACGGGAGGCAGCAGUGGGGAAUAUUGGGCAAUGGGCGAAAGCCUGAUCCAGCCAUGCCGCGUGUGUGAAGAGGGUCUUCGGAUUGUAAAGCACUUUAAGUUGGGAGGAAGGGUUGUAGAUUAAUACUCUGCAAUUUUGACGUUACCGACAGAAUAAGCACCGGCUAACUCUGUGCCAGCCGCCGCCGUAA